UACGUAGGGUGCGAGCGUUGUCCGGAAUUACUGGGCGUAAAGAGCUCGUAGGUGGUUUGUCGCGUUGUCCGUGAAAACUCACAACUCAAUUGUGGGCGUGCGGGCGAUACGGGCAGACUGGAGUACUGCAGGGGAGACUGGAAUUCCUGGUGUAGCGGUGGAAUGCGCAGAUAUCAGGAGGAACACCGGUGGCGAAGGCGGGUCUCUGGACGGUGACUGACGCUGAGACGCGAAAGCGUGGGGAGCAAACAGG
rnacentral:rRNA from 1 species